UACGUAGGGGGCAAGCGUUGUCCUGGAUUUAUUGGGCGUAAAGAGCGUGUAGGCGGCCAGGUAGGUCUGCUGUGAAAACUCGAGGCUUAACCUCGAGCUGUCGGCGGAAACCAUCUGGCUAGAGUCCGGAAGAGGAGAAUGGAAUUCCCGGUGUAGCGGUGAAAUGCGCAGAUAUCGGGAAGAACACCCGUGGCGAAGGCGGUCUCUCGGUGGGACUGGU
rnacentral:rRNA from 1 species